CAGCCAUAUCAAGUUGAAAUACCGGUUUACAUGCGAUCACGGAACUUAAGCAACGUCGUCCCUAGUCAAUACGUAGAUGGGUGACUGCUUGGGAAUUCCGGGUGCUGUAA